rnacentral:ncRNA from 2 species
GUUCGACCCGGUGAUGGACCCCGCCGGGGCCGGUUGAUCCGGCCCGAACCGCCUCUUUGGCUGAUGGCUCCUGUCCACCG